GGAUGGCCACCGAAACAACCUAAAUCUUGGGGGGGGGGGCUGGGUUUCAAGGAUUUUGAAUUGUUCAAUCUAGCAAUGUUUGUGAAGCAAUGUUGGCGAAUCCUCCAGCAACAUGAGUCUCUCAGUGCCCGCAUCCUUAAAAGUGUCUAUUUCCCCACGACAUCAAUAUUGCAAGCAACACUCGGGUCUCGCCCUAGUCAGAUAUGGAGGGCAAUCAUGGAAGGCAUUGAAGUUCUUAAACAUGGACUCAUUAAAAGGAUAGGCAAUGGAACUACCACAGACGUUCGGUUGGAGAAUUGGAUCCCCAGAAAAGAGAUGAUGCGCCCUUUUGGGAACAAGGUGCCGAACCCCAUGAGGCUAGCUACAGAUUUUAUUGACCCUACCUUGGCGAAGUGGGAUAGGCAGCAAGUUGAGCAAACCUUCUUACCUAUUGACGUCCCUGCAAUCAUGGCAAUCCCUAUAUGA
rnacentral:rRNA from 1 species